rnacentral:lncRNA from 1 species
GCCCGGGUCCGCGCGCCCGGGCGGCCGGCGGGCACGGGCUGGCGCGAUGGAGCCGCAGCACGUGCGCCCCGCGUCCGGCGCCCGCAGCCCGGCCUGGGAGGAACCGGUGGGUACAGCGCCCGCGCCCGCCCCCUCCCACUUCUCCUCUGCUCCCCCCCGCCCGGGCCGGGUUCCGUUCAGGAAAUGGCCCGGGAUGAGGUCCCCAGCUGCUUCCCACCCGGGACAGCGCUUCCUCCGCCGCCCGGGCUCCUCCUCGCGCGCCGCCCGGAGCGCCUUUGUCCGGGCCGGCCGAGGCUCUCCCCCAGGGGCCGCGGACGAGCCACUGACCACGGCCCUCCAAGGACCGUUUUCCGUGCUUCAUCGACUUCGCAACUUUUUCCUUGAUUUCGGAGCGUGGAGGGUGGGUAGGGAGGGGGCAAAAAGAAGCCCAGACUGGGGGUCAGCGUGCAGGGCUCGGAGGAGACAGGUCUUGCCUCUUGAGACCGCGCCCUGGGCGGUCACCUGGGCGCUGCAGGUUCCUAAGGAGCCGCGCUUGGCGAGGCGGAUCGCAGCUAGAAGCCGGGAACCACGCCUCCGCCUCCUGCUCGCCGCUAAAGCCCCGGGCUUUUCUAGGGUUCGAGGGGGUUGCCAGGGAUGAAGCGGGAAGCUGACCUCGAUUUCGCUUAGGAUUUCGCUGCCCGUGAAACGCGGAGGUUGGGCAGUUUGGGGGACCGAAAGUAACGUGGGCAUGUGCAUUGUGUGUGCGCGGGUAAGGAGCAGGAGGACGGGGGAAUUGGGGGCUUGGGAUUUGUUCCCUCAAACUCCUUCAACUUCCUCUCUUCCAACUCAGAGAGUCAGAACCAUCUCACAUCCCUCCGGUGAUUCUAGCCCGAAAUCCCCGUCUCACUCAGAGCUCUGUAAUCCUGUGUGGGCUGCCUUUUCCCUGGCAUCGAAUUUUGGCUCUCUCCGCCCUGCCUCGAUGUUUGCUGUUCCGUCUUGGUUGACAUUCUUGAACCUAUUUGGAAAACCUCGUCCGAAAUUUCUGGCCUCACCAGUGUUCUGUUCAACACGUUCGGAUGCUCUUUUCCCAGGAACUCCGAGGAUCUGCUCAGGCUGGCCCCCUGCCUGUUGAGAGCUUCUAGGUCAGGUGCCAAGCUUGGUUCCCCCUUUUCUUUUCUAGUAUGUACCCUCCCAGCUCCUUUGCCAAAGUACAUUUCUCUGCCUUCUGUUUCCCGACCUUUCAGGAGUGUCCUUAAACUCGGAUCCAUCUGUAUCUGCAGCUGUCUUUGCUUUUGUCAAUUUGAACAUGUUGUUAGGUUGCCCAUCUGCUCGUAUUUCUUCUAUUGUGGUUAUUACUGGGGAUUAAGUUUAUUCUUGAAAUUAAAAAUACAGUUCAGUUUGGGAGUUUAAGUCAGCGAUAACUGAGAACUAAAUUCAGGGACCUGUUUUUGUAACUUUACUUUUGAGCUCUUUUCUAUGAAGUCCUUGUUGAACUUGGAUACUUAAAGUCAACACCAAUUGCAAUGAAAAAUACCCACUUAUAUGUAUUUCACUUGAGGGUCUUGAUGCCAGAACCACUUGGUACGUGGAAAAAUAGAGAACGGCGUUUUUAUUUUUGCUUUGCUUAAAGUUACAACAUGAAAAUGCUUGUUUAUUAGCCUUUAAAACUAGAGCCCGAAUGGAAAUGUGUUAAUGAGUUGUGACACUUUAUCCAGACUGCAGAACUCUCCAAAAAAAAAGUGAGGUUUAUAUUCUGUACAUACCGGAAGGCCUUUUAAUUUAUUCAGCAGGUAUUUCAUAUAGCACCUACUAUGUUCCAGGACUGUUGGCUAUAGCAUUUAACAAUACAGGCACAAAUCCUUAAGUCCUCACUGAGUGUUCAUUCUUAAGUAAACAGAAUGUCUUGUGUCAGAGAUGUGAAUAGUUUAACUUCGGAGACCAGACAAAACAAAACAAAGCAAAAACCUUUCUUGAUCUUAGGUAUGUGGCAUAAAAUGCUACUUUUGACAAAGUGAUUGUAUUUGAAACCCUGUGGCCGCAUGUCCGACCCACAGUAAAAGAUAAGUUAUCUAAAUUACUGAAAAAUGGUGUGUACAAGAGAAAAGAAUGGGUAAGGGAGGGGAAAUAGGGGAUUUAAGUGUUAAUUAUUUCAGACGUGUGGAGGAGUUAAGAGAGGAAAAAUCAGCUUCAUCUAAGUAUGUUUGUGGGACAGUUUUCCUUUCAAAACAAGUUUCAUCAAAAUCAGGGAUUCUUGAACUUCUAUUGGAUCAGUGAUCCCUUUAAGAAUCAAAUCAAAGCUAUGGACACUUUUUCUCUUUCUCCCCCAAAGGUACCUAUGUGAAAUACACAUAAAAAUUUAAUAACCUUUCAAGGGAAUCACAGAGUUCCCAUAGCCCAGUCUAUGGACCCUCAAAGACCUUGGAUUAAGAACAUCUGUUUUUCAGGAGUGGCAUAUAAGGCAAUGUCAGGUUCAGUCCUGCGGCUCAGGUUCAGUCCCUGGCCUGGGAACUUCCGCAUGCAGCCAAAAAACAAAAAACAAAAAAAAAACAAACACCUGCUUUGAUCUGGACUCCAUUUUGCAGUCAUUUAAAAUGUGGUCUUUGAAUUCAAAUUUAGGCAACUUUAAUACUUUACUGUGAAAGUAUGCUCAUUUACAUUUAUGAAAAGGAAUUUUCAAUAUUGACCAGGCAAUAUUCAUAUCACACAGAUCCUGUUGUGCUAUCCCUUACUGUAUACAACAGCAUACAUGGAUGAAUUUAAUUCCUUAUUCUUUAUUGCUGGACCCCCAAACAUGUGGUUCUACAUGGAACUAUUCAGACAGAAGAGCAAACACAGUAGUAUCAGGAACUGAUGCUGAGGAAUAGUAUAAAGAGAAUGGCACCUCUAGAUUGAAAUGUACCCGGGUCUGGAGCUGAGAGGCAGCUGCUAGACGUCAUGCCAUUCUUUGUAUUUGGAGAUGAAAUGAGGUUAUUUAGUUAAGUGUGGGUAUUUAAAUAAACUGUUAGCCUGUCAUUACUCCAGCAAGGGCACGGGGCCUAUAAGACAAUACAUGGUAGCAGUCAGGUGUCUGUGUAUUUUCUUUAAUGCUAGUUUCAGAAUGUAAUCAAAUCAGUGGACAUAGAGGCACUACCUACAUGUCUAAUUAAUUAAAAACUAUUUUGGUGGUGGGAAUAGGUAGGUAGGGAGAUAGUAAGCUGAGCAGCCCUUACUUGUAGAUAAUAUCCUAGAGUAUUAGAAGAGUUACUCUUAGGUAUAUCCUGGGCUAGAAGGUAGUUCGAAUUCUAGCCAGAACUAAAAAGAGUAUGGAAGUGUUUUUAAAGUAGUUCUGAAACAGUAGAGCGAUACUCGAGUGCAUUUUACUUUCUAAAAUUUUUUCUUUUCCCAAAUGAUUUUUAUCUAGUUGGCUCUGAUGAAACAAUUCAGAACUACUUGAAAAAUUAGGAAGGGAAGCGUUUCAAAGGAACAAAGGGCUAAAAUAGAAAUGAGAGGUUAUGAGUGUAUUUAUGUUGAGCUCUAGAGGACCAACGAUUUUUGCCUUAGGUGCAGGGCUGACCUUAUUUAGGUACAUGUGGUCGAUGUCACAAUUAAUUUUGAAGUCUUUUUUUGUUGCGGUCACACCUAAGGGAAUUUUAAUAAAAUUUCGAAUGUUAAAUUCUAAGCAUAGAGUAGAUAGCAUGUUAUGGAAGUCAUUUGAAAGUUUAAAUGAAAGCAGAUCUGUACCUGUUCAACCUGCAGGGUUCUUUGCAUGGUUCCCGUGGAGUAGGAACAUGAGUCCCCAGACUUGUUUUUAAAGUGUCUAAGUAUUUGAGUUGAUCCAAAUAUAAAUGUAGACUUCUUCAUGUUUAUAAUAUAUUUAACAUAAAACCAUAGAAUAUAUGGGAUUUAAAAGUUGCAAAUGGCUAUUAACCUCUUUUGUUAGGAGUAGUGAUCAAUAAGAAUGUAAUUCAAAAUAUCUCUACAGAUAUAUUAAUAUCUAAUGUCAAUAUUCAUAAAGUUGUAUCCAAAAUGAAAAUUGGCUAUGACCUAUACAUCUUCAGUAUAAUAGGUUUUUUUCUUUCUUUUUUUUUUUUUUUAAAUGGGGCAGAAAGCCCUAUACAGUAAAAACCUAAAUCUCAUUCAGUUGUGGCUUCUAUUUCCAUUUCUUUCUGAAUGUAGUGUCUAUGUGGCUUAUGUCCAAGUUUUUAAUAGUGUGUUUGUGAUAUGAUAUGUCCCAAACAAUGACUUCAAAGCAAUAAUGAUGAAAUAUGGAAGACACAUCUAAGAAAUUAUUUCAAAAUCUGAAAACAUCAAGU